GACGAACGCUGGCGGCGUGCUUAACACAUGCAAGUCGAACGGAAAGGCCCUGCUUUUGUGGGGUGCUCGAGUGGCGAACGGGUGAGUAACACGUGAGUAACCUGCCCUUGACUUUGGGAUAACUUCAGGAAACUGGGGCUAAUACCGUAUAGGAGCUCCUGCUGCAUUGUGGGGGUUGGAAAGUUUCGGCGGUUGGGGAUGGCUCGGCGGCUUAUCAGCUUGUUGGUGGGGUAGUGGCUUACCCAGGCUUUGCCGGGUAGCCGGCCUGAGAGGGUGGCAGGCAAAAGUGGGACUGAGAUACGGGCAAGAUUCGUAGGGGAGGCAGCAGUGGGGAAGCUGGCACAAUGGGAGGAAGCAGGAUGCAGAAACGCGGCGUGCGGGAUGACGGCCUUCGGGUUGUAAACCGCUUUCGCCUGUGACGAAGCGUGAGUGACGGUAAUGGGUAAAGAAGCACCGGCUAACUACGUG
rnacentral:rRNA from 1 species